CCUACGGGAGGCAGCAGUGAGGAAUAUUGGUCAAUGGGCGCGAGCCUGAACCAGCCAAGUCGCGUGAGGGAAGACGGUCCUAUGGAUUGUAAACCUCUUUUGUCGGGGAGCAAAAGACGCCACGCGUGGCGUUUCGAGAGUACCCGAAGAAAAAGCAUCGGCUAACUCCGUGCCAGCAGCCGCGGUAAUACGGAGGAUGCGAGCGUUAUCCGGAUUUAUUGGGUUUAAAGGGUGCGCAGGCGGAAGAUCAAGGCAGCGGUAAAAUUGAGGGGCUCAACCUCUUCGAGCCGUUGAAACUGGUUUUCUUGAGUGAGUGGGAAGUAUGCGGAAUGCGUGGUGUAGCGGUGAAAUGCAUAGAUAUCACGCAGAACUCCGAUUGCGAAGGCAGCAUACCGGCGCUCAACUGACGCUCAUGCACGAAGGUGUGGGUAUCGAACAGGAUUAGAUACCCUAGUAGUC
rnacentral:rRNA from 1 species